CUGAAUUACUUAACUGUGCUCUAUCUACCACGCUAAUCUAACGUCAAAAAGUGAAUUAUAUUUCAAAAAUACAACCUCAGUAAUCCUGUUCCAGCUUAGCUGUCAGAUUCCAUAAAGCACCCUUCCAUCUCCAGGCAGCACGAGGCCGUUUCCAAGCACACAGAAGGGCAGUGUUCCCUCAGGAACUCUGAGGGCUGCGGGGCCUGCCGGGCCGGCACAGAGACCCCCCAGCUCCCGGCUGGGUGUGCCUGGGGACACCGAGAGCUCUCCGAGCCCACACCAGGCACACACUGCCCGGCUCUCACACACCUCCCCGGUGUGUGGCAAUGCACGGGGCCGAGGGCAGGGCCAGCAGAGCCGCCCCUCGGCCCACCCGCUGCAGGACUCACACACCACCCUCACGGUGCCGGGUCCCAGCCCUUCCCACAGGAACUGCCCCUCCUCGCCCGCUGCUGCUGCUGGGUGAGGGCAGCGAGAGCUGAACAAAAGGAAAACAGUAUCACUCAUCAAAGUUGAACAGAAACCUUUCCUAAAUCUACAUGAGGAGAUUCUGACUGCAGUUUCUGGUUCUUCCAAAGAAUACUGUAGCUCCAAAGUGAGACUGAGGAUGUUCUGAAGGCAAACGAUCUGACCCAAGAUUCAAAAGCACUUAGAAGGAAAAAACAAGAAUUUUCACCACUGGACUUUACUUUUUGGGAUGCCACUGUGAGCAACUACUUGCACUGGAGGUCCAAUGUUGGCAAAAAAAAAAAAAAAAAAGCCACUGAAGACAAAACACUGAAAAGUACUGACAGUGCUACACCAUCAGUCGCUGGUGCCACGUGUUACAUCUGCAUUAUGUGCAGCAAAACCUGGUGCUCUGGGAUUUAAUACAAAUUUUGCAUGACUUAUCUGAAGUUCACUCAGAUGAAGCAAACUGCAUAAGUCACAGGAGCACUUUGGUAGCAGAAUCUGAAAGAGUACAUCAACACUGUCUGUGAGCGCACUGCCAAAACCACGGGAAUGCACACAUAAUAAAAUAUCAACUUGAAUAAAUAUCUGGAAGCUG
rnacentral:lncRNA from 1 species